CCUACGGGAGGCAGCAGUGGGGAAUAUUGGACAAUGGGCGAAAGCCUGAUCCAGCCAUGCCGCGUGUGUGAAGAAGGUCUUCGGAUUGUAAAGCACUUUAAGUUGGGAGGAAGGGUUGUAGAUUAAUACUCUGCAAUUUUGACGUUACCGACAGAAUAAGCACCGGCUAACUCUGUGCCAGCAGCCGCGGUAAUACAGAGGGUGCAAGCGUUAAUCGGAAUUACUGGGCGUAAAGCGCGCGUAGGUGGUUUGUUAAGUUGGAUGUGAAAUCCCCGGGCUCAACCUGGGAACUGCAUUCAAAACUGACUGACUAGAGUAUGGUAGAGGGUGGUGGAAUUUCCUGUGUAGCGGUGAAAUGCGUAGAUAUAGGAAGGAACACCAGUGGCGAAGGCGACCACCUGGACUAAUACUGACACUGAGGUGCGAAAGCGUGGGGAGCAAACAGGAUUAGAUACCCUGGUAGUCCACGCCGUAAACGAUGUCAACUGGCCGUUGGAAGCCUUGAGCUUUUAGUGGCGCAGCUAACGCAUUAAGUUGACCGCCUGGGGAUACGGCCGCAAGGUUAAAACCUUAAAGUGAAUUGACGG
rnacentral:rRNA from 1 species